GAUGAACGCUAGCGACAGGCUUAACACAUGCAAGUCGAGGGGCAGCAGGGGAGUAGCAAUACUCCCGCUGGCGACCGGCGCACGGGUGAGUAACACGUAUGCAACCUGCCCUUGUCAGGGGGAUAAGCGGAAGAAAUUCCGUCUAAUACCGCAUAACGCUGCGGGGAGACAUCUCCCUGCAGCCAAAGAUUUAUCGGACAAGGAUGGGCAUGCGGCGCAUUAGCUUGUUGGCGGGGUAACGGCCCACCAAGGCGACGAUGCGUAGGGGUUCUGAGAGGAAGGUCCCCCACACUGGUACUGAGACACGGACCAGACUCCUACGGGGGGCAGCAGUGAGGAAUAUUGGUCAAUGGCCGGGAGGCUGAACCAGCCAAGUCGCGUGAGGGAAGACGGUCCUAGGGAUUGUAAACCUCUUUUGUCAGGGAGCAAAAACUGCCACGCGUGGCAGGAUGAGAGUACCUGAAGAAAAAGCAUCGGCUAACUCCGUGCCAGCAGCCGCGGUAAUACGGAGGAUGCGAGCGUUAUCCGGAUUUAUUGGGUUUAAAGGGUGCGUAGGCGGACAGUUAAGUCAGCGGUAAAAUUGAGAGGCUCAACCUCUUCCCGCCGUUGAAACUGAUUGUCUUGAGUGGGCGAGAAGUAUGCGGAAUGCGUGGUGUAGCGGUGAAAUGCAUAGAUAUCACGCAGAACUCCGAUUGCGAAGGCAGCAUACCGGCGCCCAACUGACGCUGAAGCACGAAAGCGUGGGUAUCGAACAGGAUUAGAUACCCUGGUAGUCCACGCAGUAAACGAUGAAUACUAAUUGUUCGGGUCGAGUGAGAUCUGAGUGAUACAGCGAAAGCGUUAAGUAUUCCACCUGGGGAGUACGCCGGCAACGGUGAAACUCAAAGGAAUUGACGGGGGCCCGCACAAGCGGAGGAACAUGUGGUUUAAUUCGAUGAUACGCGAGGAACCUUACCCGGGCUCAAACGACACAGGAAUGAUCUGAGAAAUCAGGCAGUCCUUCGGGACCUGUGUCGAGGUGCUGCAUGGUUGUCGUCAGCUCGUGCCGUGAGGUGUCGGCUUAAGUGCCAUAACGAGCGCAACCCCCAUCGACAGUUGCCAGCAGGUCAAGCUGGGCACUCUGUCGAGACUGCCGGCGCAAGCUGUGAGGAAGGCGGGGAUGACGUCAAAUCAGCACGGCCCUUACGUCCGGGGCGACACACGUGUUACAAUGGCAGGUACAGCGGGAAGCCACCUGGCGACAGGGAGCGGAACCCGAAAGCCUGUCUCAGUUCGGAUUGGAGUCUGCAACUCGACUCCAUGAAGCUGGAUUCGCUAGUAAUCGCGCAUCAGCCACGGCGCGGUGAAUACGUUCCCGGGCCU
rnacentral:rRNA from 1 species